GUCUAGAGCCAUACCACCCUGAAUGCGCCCAAUCUCAUCUGAUCUUGGAAGCUAAGCAGGUUCGGGCCUGGUUAGUACUUGGAUGGGAGAAUUAUAGCUUUGGGCUUCCGGCGCUAUGGUUC
rnacentral:rRNA from 1 species